rnacentral:rRNA from 1 species
UCCAGACUCCUACGGGAGGCAGCAGUGAGGAAUAUUGGUCAAUGGGCGAGAGCCUGAACCAGCCAAGUCGCGUGAGGGAAGACGGUCCUAUGGAUUGUAAACCUCUUUUGCCGGGGAGCAAAAAGCGGUACGUGUACCGCAUCGAGAGUACCCGGAGAAAAAGCAUCGGCUAACUCCGUGCCAGCAGCCGCGGUAAUACGGAGGAUGCGAGCGUUAUCCGGAUUUAUUGGGUUUAAAGGGUGCGCAGGCGGGGAUUUAAGACAGGGGAAAAUUUGGGGGGCCAAACCCCGGCGAGCCGUUGAAACUGGCUUGCUAGAGUGGGCGAGAAGUAUGCGGAAUGCGUGGUGUAGCGGUGAAAUGCAUAGAUAUCACGCAGAACUCCGAUUGCGAAGGCAGCAUACCGGCGCCCAACUGUCGCUGAAGCACGAAAGCGUGGGUAUCGAACAGGAUUAGAUACCCUAGUAUG